GACGAACGCUGGCGGCGUGCUUAACACAUGCAGGUCGAACGGAAAGGCCCUGCUUUUGUGGGGUGCUCGAGUGGCGAACGGGUGAGUAACACGUGAGUAACCUGCCCUUGACUUUGGGAUAACUUCAGGAAACUGGGGCUAAUAACGGAUAGGAGCUCCUGCUGCAUGGUGGGGGUUGGAACGUUUCGGCGGUUGGGGAUGGACUCGCGGCUUAUCAGCUUGUUGGUGGGGUAGUGGCUUACCAAGGCUUUGACGGGUAGCCGGCCUGAGAGGGUGACCGGCCACACUAGGACUGGGAUACGGCCCAGACUACUACGGGAGGCAGCAGUGGGGACUAUUGCACAAUGGGCGGAAGCCUUGUGCAGCACCGCCGCGUGCGGGAUACCAGCCUUCGGGUUGUAACCCGUUUUCGCCUGCGACGAAUCGAGAGUGAAGGUAAUGGGCAAAGAAGCACCGGCUAACUACGUG
rnacentral:rRNA from 1 species